rnacentral:rRNA from 1 species
UGGGGAAUAUUGGACAAUGGGGGAAACCCUGAUCCAGCAAUGCCGCGUGAGUGAUGAAGGCCUUAGGGUUGUAAAGCUCUUUCGGUGGUGACGAUGAUGACGGUAACCACAGAAGAAGCCCCGGCUAACUUCGUGCCAGCAGCCGCGGUAAGACGAAGGGGGCUAGCGUUGUUCGGAAUUACUGGGCGUAAAGCGCACGUAGGCGGCUUUGUAAGUUAGAGGUGAAAGCCCGGAGCUCAACUCCGGAACUGCCUUUAAGACUGCAUCGCUAGAAUUGUGGAGAGGUAAGUGGAAUUCCGAGUGUAGAGGUGAAAUUCGUAGAUAUUCGGAAGAACACCAGUGGCGAAGGCGACUUACUGGACACAUAUUGACGCUGAGGUGCGAAAGCGUGGGGAGCAAA